rnacentral:rRNA from 1 species
UACGUAGGGUCCGAGCGUUGUCCGGAAUUAUUGGGCGUAAAGGGCUCGUAGGCGGUUCGUCACGUCGGGAGUGAAAACUCGGAGCUUAACUCCGAGCCUGCUUCCGAUACGGGCAGACUAGAGGUAGGCAGGGGAGAGCGGAACUCCUGGUGUAGCGGUGGAAUGCGCAGAUAUCGGGAGGAACACCGGUGGCGAAGGCGGUUCUCUGGGCCUUACCUGACGCUGAGGAGCGAAAGCGUGGGGAGCGAACAGG